rnacentral:rRNA from 1 species
AACGUAGGAGACGAGCGUUAUCCGGAUUUACUGGGCGUAAAGCGCGUGCAGGCGGUUUAUUAAGUCACUUGUGAAAGCGCCCGGCUCAACUGGGCGAGGCCGUGUGAGACUGAUAGACUUGAGAGAGGUAGAGGCGAAUGGAAUUCCGGGUGGAGUGGUGAAAUGCGUAGAGAUCCGGAGGAACACCAGUGGCGAAGGCGAUUCGCUGGGCCUUCUCUGACGCUCAGACGCGACAGCAUGGGGAGCGAACGGG